rnacentral:rRNA from 1 species
GACGAACGCUGGCGGCGUGCUUAACACAUGCAAGUCGAACGGAAAGGCCCUGCUUUUGUGGGGUGCUCGAGUGGCGAACGGGUGAGUAACACGUGAGUAACCUGCCCUUGACUUUGGGAUAACUUCAGGAAGCUGGGGCUAAUACCGGAUAGGAGCUCCUGCUGCAUGGUGGGGGUUGGAAAGUUUCGGCGGUUGGGGAUGGACUCGCGGCUUAUCAGCUUGUUGGUGGGGUAGUGGCUUACCAAGGCUUUGACGGGUAGCCGGCCUGAGAGGGUGACCGGCCACAUUGGGACUGAGAUACGGCCCAGACUCCUACGGGAGGCAGCAGUGGGGAAUAUUGCACAAUGGGCGGAAGCCUGAAGCAGCAACGCCGCGUGCGGGAUGACGGCCUUCGGGUUGUAAACCGCUUUCGCCUGUGACGAAGCGUGAGUGACGGUAAUGGGUAAAGAAGCACCGGCUAACUACGUG